UACAGAGGUCUCAAGCGUUGUUCGGAUUCAUUGGGCGUAAAGGGUGUGUAGGUGGCGCGCUAAGUCGGGGUGUGAAAUUUCGGAGCUUAACUCCGAAACUGCAUUCGAUACUGGCGUGCUUGAGGACUGGAGAGGAGACUGGAAUUCAUCGGUGUAGCAGUGAAAUGCGUAGAUAUCAUGAGGAAUACCAGCGGCGAAGGCGGGUCUCCCUGG
rnacentral:rRNA from 1 species